rnacentral:antisense_RNA from 21 species
GGGUGCUUGAGGCUGUUUGCCUGGAGCAUUCGUGAAAGGCAGACAGAGAAAAGCCCCAGUUAACAUUCGGCGUCUUGCAGGACGCUUAACAUUAAACUGAGGCCAAUCCAAUGCUUGAACAACUGAAGAUUAGCCUCUUAACCGUAAGAAAUCAACUUACAGGAGGCUGUAAUG